GCGCCAAUGGCCGAAGGCUGACGCAGCGACGCCGCGUGCGGGAGGAAGGCCUCGGUCGUAAACCGCUGUCAGUGGGAGGAACGGCUGGGGGAGGCAAUGCCCCCGGUUUGACAGUACCCGCAGAGGAAGCACCGGCUAACUCCGUGCCAGCAGCCGCGGUAAUACGGAGGGUGCAAGCGUUGUUCGGAAUUAUUGGGCGUAAAGCGCACGUAGGCGGCUGUUUAAGUCUCACUGUGAAAGCCUGCGGCUCAACCGCAGGAGGCCAGGGGAUACUGGACAGCUGGAGACAGGUAGAGGCGAGCGGAAUUCCGGGUGUAGCGGUGGAAUGCGUAGAGAUCCGGAAGAACACCAGAGGCGAAGGCGGCUCGCUGGACCUGUUCUGACGCUGAGGUGCGAAAGCGUGGGGAGCGAACAGGAUUAGAUACCCUGGUAGUCCACGCCGUAAACGAUGGAUACUAGAUGCCGGUGGGAUCGACCCCUUCGGUGUCGCAGCUAACGCGUUAAGUAUCCCGCCUGGGGAGUACGGCCGCAAGGCUGAAACUCAAAGGAAUUGACGGGGGCCCGCACAAGCGGUGGAGCAUGUGGUUUAAUUCGAAGCAACGCGAAGAACCUUACCUGGGCUUGACAUGCACGUGAAACCCUAGGGAAACCUAGGGCCCCCUUCGGGGCACGUGCACAGGUGGUGCAUGGCUGACGUCAGCUCGUGUCGUGAGAUGUUGGGUUAAGUCCCGCAACGAGCGCAACCCCUGUCCCAUGUUGCCAGCACGUAAUGGUGGGGACUCUUGGGAGACUGCCGGGGUCAACUCGGAGGAAGGUGGGGAUGACGUCAAGUCAUCAUGCCCCUUAUAUCCAGGGCUGCAAACAUGCUACAAUGGCCAGUACAGAGGGCUGCGAGACCGCGAGGUUGAGCGAAUCCCGUAAAGCUGGUCUCAGUUCGGAUCGGAGUCUGCAACUCGACUCCGUGAAGCUGGAGUCGCUAGUAAUCCCGGAUCAGCAACGCCGCGGUGAAUACGUUCCCGGG
rnacentral:rRNA from 1 species